rnacentral:other from 1 species
GUUUCAAUUCCUCAUAAGUAGGCUACAAAC